GUCUGUACUGUAAGGACACGGGGAGACAUGAGAUAGCCGGGCUUGCUCCCGUCCGGGACCCUGGUGCUGGGCGACGCGGGAGCGGCCGGGAGCCUCAGACAUCGCCUUUCAGUGCGAGGUGAGUUCUUCAGAGACAGUAUUGCAGUAUCACCAGAAGACUACCAGUCUUAAGAAUAGUAUUCCCUCCUAGAAAGGCUGCUUUGGAGGGAGACUGAGGCACAUGACUGAGGCCUUUUGCCCUGAUUGCAAAGAUGUUUUGCUGCCAUUGCUGCUGGAGGGCAGACAGCAUCUCAUGACAAGGAAUUCCAGAGGUUACCUGCAGCUUGAUUGAUACAACCUUCUUGUGUUUGCUUCAAAUGUGUCUCCUGCUCCUCAGAUUGGAAGAGACAGUGAGGAACAUGUGGUCUCCAAAGCCUCUCCAUGUACUCCGGUUAAGGCACUAGACACUCUUCACCCAUGAGACCAGCUGGAGAAAUGUUAGUACUAUUAGCAAGGAUUUGUAGCACAGCUUACUGCUGACAUACAGAAUAAUUAAGCAAAUGGAGAUAAAUAGAAAGCAUGAUUAAAAAUUACCUUGGUUGAAUAAAGCAUUGCAAAAUGUC